rnacentral:rRNA from 1 species
GACGAACGCUGGCGGCGUGCUCAACACAUGCAAGUCGAACGCUGAAGCCCUUCGGGGUGGAUGAGUGGCGAACGGGUGAGUAACACGUGGGUAAUCUGCCCUGCACUCUGGGAUAAGCCUUGGAAACGGGGUCUAAUACCGGAUAGGACACAUCGCCGCAUGGUGUGUGUGUGGAAAGUUCCGGCGGUGCAGGUUGAGCCCGCGGCCUAUCAGCGUGUUGGUGGGGUGAUGGCCUACCAAGGCGACGACGGGUAGCCGGCCUGAGAGGGUGACCGGCCACACUGGGACUGAGACACGGCCCGGACUCCUACGGGAGGCAGCAGUGGGGAAUCUUGCACAAUGGGCGAAAGCCUGACGCAGCAACGCCGCGUGGGGGAUGACGGCCUUCGGGUUGUAAACCUCUUUCGACCGGGACGAAGGAUUCGUUUGACGGUACCGGUAGAAGAAGCACCGGCUAACUACGUGCCAGCCGCCGCCGUAA